CUACGGGGGGCUGCAGUGAGGAAUAUUGCACAAUGGGGGGAACCCUGAUGCAGCAACGCCGCGUGGAGGAUGACGCAUUUCGGUGUGUAAACUCCUUUUAUAUGUCAAGAAAAUGACGGUAGCAUAUGAAUAAGCACCGGCUAACUCCGUGCCAGGAGCCGCGGUAAUACGGGGGUGCAAGCGUUACUCGGAAUCACUGGGCGUAAAGGACGCGUAGGCGGGUUGGAAAGUCAGGUGUGAAAUCCUACAGCUUAACUGUAGAACUGCACUUGAAACUUCUAAUCGAGAGUAUGGGAGGGGGAGAUGGAAUUAGUGGUGUAGGGGUAAAAUCCGUAGAUAUCACUAGGAAUACCUAAAGCGAAGGCGAUCUCCUGGAACAUUACUGACGCUAAGGCGUGAAAGCGUGGGGAGCAAACAGGAUUAGAUACCCCGGUAGUC
rnacentral:rRNA from 1 species